GCCUGGCUGGCUCAGUCGGUCGAGCAUGUGACUCUUGAUCUCAGGGUUGUGAGUUCAAGUCCCACAUUGAGUG
rnacentral:tRNA from 1 species